rnacentral:tRNA from 1 species
CACUAGAAAGCUUAAUUGGAUUAAGCAUUAGCCUUUUAAGCUAAAGAAUGGUGAUCCCCAAUCACCUCUAGUGA